rnacentral:rRNA from 1 species
UACGUAGGGGGCUAGCGUUGUUCGGAAUCACUGGGCGUAAAGGGCGCGUAGGCGGAUUUUUAAGUCAGGGGUGAAAUCCUGGAGCUCAACUCCAGAACUGCCUUUGAUACUGGGAAUCUUGAGUUCGGGAGAGGUGAGUGGAACUGCGAGUGUAGAGGUGAAAUUCGUAGAUAUUCGCAAGAACACCAGUGGCGAAGGCGGCUCACUGGCCCGAUACUGACACUGAGGCACGAAAGCGUGGGGAGCAAACAGG